rnacentral:rRNA from 1 species
CCCUUAGACGUUCUGGGCCGCACGCGCGCUACACUGACCAGUGCAACAAGCAUCCGUCCUUGGCCGACAGGCCCGGGCAAUCUUUGAACGCUGGUCGUGAUGGGGAUAGACUUUUGCAAUUUUUGGUCUUCAACGAGGAAUUCCUAGUAAACGCAAGUCAUCAACUUGCAUUGAUUACGUCCCUGCCCUUUGUACACACCGCCCGUCGCACCUACCGAUUGAAUGGUCCGGUGAAGCCUCCGGAUUGGCGCUCACCUCGGUGCCGCCGAGAAGUUGGCUAAACCUUACCAUUUAGAGGAAGGUGAAGUCGUAACA